rnacentral:rRNA from 1 species
GACCAAGGAGUAUAACAUGUGCGCGAGUCGUAGGGUUACGCUCAAAGCCCGAAGGCGCAAUGAAAGAGAAGGUCGGCCUCGAUUGCCGUUACCUAGGCGGGAUCCGUUCGGGCUUACCGGUCGUUCGCGGCUGAACCCGGCGGCGCACCGCCGGCCCGUCUCGACCGCAUCGCCGGUGAGGCGGAGCGAGAGCGUACACGUUGGGACCCGAAAGAUGGUGAACUAUGCCCGGGCAGGACGAA